AGCUUUGUGCAGUGGCAGUAUCAUAGCCAAUAAGGUUUAUCUGAGGUGUGAUUAUUGCUAAUUAAAAUUAUACAUAAAU
rnacentral:snRNA from 1 species